CACUUUACGAUGUGGUGUU
rnacentral:siRNA from 1 species